UGCAAGCCGAGCGGUAGAGAUCUUUCGGGAUCUUGAGAGCGGCGUACGGGUGCGGAACACGUGUGCAACCUGCCUUUAUCAGGGGGAUAGCCUUUCGAAAGGAAGAUUAAUACCCCAUAAUAUAAGAAACGGCAUCGUUUUUUAUUGAAAACUCCGGUGGAUAGAGAUGGGCACGCGCAAGAUUAGAUAGUUGGUAGGGUAACGGCCUACCAAGUCAGUGAUCUUUAGGGGGCCUGAGAGGGUGAUCCCCCACACUGGUACUGAGACACGGACCAGACUCCUACGGGAGGCAGCAGUGAGGAAUAUUGGACAAUGGGUGAGAGCCUGAUCCAGCCAUCCCGCGUGAAGGACGACGGCCCUAUGGGUUGUAAACUUCUUUUGUAUAGGGAUAAACCUACUCACGUGUGAGUAGCUGAAGGUACUAUACGAAUAAGCACCGGCUAACUCCGUGCCAGCAGCCGCGGUAAUACGGAGGGUGCAAGCGUUAUCCGGAUUUAUUGGGUUUAAAGGGUCCGUAGGCGGAUCUGUAAGUCAGUGGUGAAAUCUCAUAGCUUAACUAUGAAACUGCCAUUGAUACUGCAGGUCUUGAGUAAGGUAGAAGUAGCUGGAAUAAGUAGUGUAGCGGUGAAAUGCAUAGAUAUUACUUAGAACACCAAUUGCGAAGGCAGGUUACUAUGUCUUAACUGACGCUGAUGGACGAAAGCGUGGGGAGCGAACAGGAUUAGAUACCCUGGUAGUCCACGCCGUAAACGAUGCUAACUCGUUUUUGGGUUUUCGGAUUCAGAGACUAAGCGAAAGUGAUAAGUUAGCCACCUGGGGAGUACGUUCGCAAGAAUGAAACUCAAAGGAAUUGACGGGGGCCCGCACAAGCGGUGGAUUAUGUGGUUUAAUUCGAUGAUACGCGAGGAACCUUACCAAGACUUAAAUGGGAAUUGAUCGGUUUAGAAAUAGACCUUCCUUCGGGCAAUUUUCAAGGUGCUGCAUGGUUGUCGUCAGCUCGUGCCGUGAGGUGUUAGGUUAAGUCCUGCAACGAGCGCAACCCCUGUCACUAGUUGCCAUCAUUAAGUUGGGGACUCUAGUGAGACUGCCUACGCAAGUAGAGAGGAAGGUGGGGAUGACGUCAAAUCAUCACGGCCCUUACGUCUUGGGCCACACACGUAAUACAAUGGCCGGUACAGAGGGCAGCUACCAGGUGACUGGAUGCAAAUCUCGAAAGCCGGUCUCAGUUCGGAUUGGAGUCUGCAACUCGACUCUAUGAAGCUGGAAUCGCUAGUAAUCGCGCAUCAGCCAUGGCGCGGUGAAUACGUUCCCGGGCCUUGUACACACCGCCCGUCAAGCCAUGGAAGUCUGGGGUACCUGAAGUCGGUGACCGUAAUAGGAGCUGC
rnacentral:rRNA from 1 species